rnacentral:lncRNA from 1 species
GAGUGGUGGUGCACACCUGUAGUCCCAGCUACUUGGGAGACUGAAGCACAAGAAUCACUUGAACCCAGCAGGCAGAGGUUGCAGUGAGUGGAGAUUGUGCCACUGCACCCCAGCCUGGGUGACAGAGUGAGAAUGUGAGUCAAAAAAAGAAAAAAGAAAAAUUCCUCAUGACCUGGGGUUAAGGUUCCUAGACAUGACACCAAAAACAUGAUCCACCAAUGGCAUGAUGGAUAAGACUUCAUCAAAAUUAAGUCUGUGCUUCAAAAGACACUAUCAACAAAGUAAAGAGAGAAUAGGAGAAAUUACAAAUCAUAUACCUGGUAAGAGACUUGUACCCAGAAUAUAUAAAGACUCUUACUACCCAAUAAGACAACUAAAAAAAUGGGUAAAUAAUUUGAAUAAAC